rnacentral:tRNA from 2 species
CCUUCGAUAGCUCAGUUGGUAGAGCGGUGGACUGUAGUGUCGUCAGUGGCUAGUGUUGGAUGCAUUUCAAUCUUCCGCAACAGUUAUCCAUAGGUCGCUGGUUCAAAUCCGGCUCGAAGGA